CCCACCAAGGCGACGAUCGGUAGCCGGACUGAGAGGUUGAACGGCCACAUUGGGACUGAGACACGGCCCAGACUCCUACGGGAGGCAGCAGUGGGGAAUAUUGCACAAUGGGGGAAACCCUGAUGCAGCGACGCCGCGUGGAGGAAGAAGGUCUUCGGAUUGUAAACUCCUGUUGUUGAGGCGGUACUCAACAAGGAAGUGACGGCUAACUACGUGCCAGCAGCCGCGGUAAAACGUAGGUCACAAGCGUUGUCCGGAAUUACUGGGUGUAAAGGGAGCGCAGGCGGGAGACAAGUUGGAAGUGAAAUCCAUGGGCUCAACCCAUGAACUGCUUUCAAAACUUUUUUCUUGAGUAGUGCAGAGGUAGGCGGAAUUCCCGGUGUAGCGGUGGAAUGCGUAGAUAUCGGGAGGAACACCAGUGGCGAAGGCGGCCUACUGGGCACCAACUGACGCUGAGGCUCGAAAGUGUGGGUAGCAAACAGGAUUAGAUACCCUGUAGUCCACACCGUAAACGAUGAUUACUAGGUGUUGGACAGUGCCGCAGUUAACACAAUAAGUAAUCCACCUGGGGAGUACGACCGCAAGGUUGAAACUCAAAGGAAUUGACGG
rnacentral:rRNA from 1 species